UUAAAAGUGAUACUGGGUGUGCGAGAGCUGUAGUGCUCUCAGAGAAGCCACAACUAGUGUUAUUCAAUCAGACUUCCCCUGAGGCAGCUCUGACUCAGAGAUAUUAUAUUCAUUCACUGUGAAGGUGAAGAAUUAAAAUGUUUUAUGUGUUGUCACACCAUCAGCAUUGGAGCAUGAGAAUGAGCAACUUGUGGUGAAGCCGUGGUAUAAAACCUUUUGAAUGUUCAAGUGGACAGUGUUACCAACACACAUCAAAUCCGUCAGGUGUAAAAUGCAAUAAGUGCAAAUGUGAAGUCAGUCGUAUGUUGGCUCACCAUCCAAGGCUUUCAACCGGUCACUAUUAGCUCUCAUUCCACAGUUUAAUAUAACCAAACCAUACAUUCUGUAGGUUUUCAUUAAAGUCUGUCAUGGGAGCAAUGUAUUUUCUUACCUAAUAUCCCUCCAGUGUAAUGUACUGCUGUGUCUGAGCAGCAGACAGCUGGUGUCUCAUAUGGGCUACUCGUAUCCAUGCCUUUACCGACAACAGCUAUUCAUCAAGAAUUGCUAACAGACACAGCGCAUAAAACAAAGGUUUCAUAACUUAUUUUAAUUAAAUUGUCCAAUCUGACAGAGUUCAUUGUUUUUACUGUUUGUUGUGGUUUCAAUCUUGAACAAGAGAUUAAAGCUUCUCUUUGUGCGCUCUCUGUAAUCAGUGUGCCGUCUCUGUGCCCUCCUUCCAUGCCGGGCUCACGAGGAGUCACAAGCCCGUGUAAACCGACCCCCGACCCUCAUGUGACGCUUUAUUGCUGAGUCACAGCAUCAGAGAGCAAGAGUAUUGUUUACAAACGUGAUAGAUUUACAGUGCUAUAACUGACAGGUAGCACGCUACAAAAAGCAAAUGGCUUAAUAGGUAAACAAGGCAAAAAAAUAAAAUUAAAAAAAGGGCUGAUAUCAUUAUUAUAGUAAUAAAAGCAACCACUUGAAAAUAUUAUAUUCUCCAGUCAUCUGACUAAAAACAGGCAUUGCGUGAAGAAUUCUGACCCCUUAAGCACGGAAAAAUAUCAGUGAGUAAUAAAAGACUGGCCAAUGCGUGCAAAGCAAUGUGACAGAGCAAAAAAAUAAAUAAAUAAAAACACUUCUUAACCCUCAUGCCCUUCUAGUGCCAACUGUUAAGACUUGGCUGGCUGAGAGGAAUGGCUGGCUGGGGAUCAGCCUAAAAAUCAGACCCUGCUGUUCUCAUUAAGAAUAUUAUAUUGUGACCUGCUGUUUUAUGUUCAUUGUCAUUAAGGGGGGAAAACGAAUUGCUUUGUUAACAAAAAAAAAAUUGAAAAACACUCCUGUGCCAUUUUCUAAAAAGAAAUAAUAUGAAUGUACUACUGCCAAAUUGUUCUGACUACUUUCUAUGCAAGUCUAAAUGAUUUUGCAUUUUCUCUUUACAUUCAUCCAAAACAUAUUUUACUUACUUUAAUUCAGUUGCUUGCUGAAGUAUAAUGUAGCAACAUCAACGAGCAGUCCAGAUUGAAUGUGUAUCACGUUCAAACUCAGAUGUGCAACAAGCUGAGGUGCCCUUAAAAUGCCGGGUUUUUGAGCUGAAGUGUGGUUUUUCUUUUGCUGAGAACGCAACAUAAACUAAUAUAAAAAUACAGUUGCCACAGAUUCCCCCAUUUCCUUGUGAGCUCUCAACCGGUGGGACCACCAAAGAAGACGUGCAGCAUCAACUACCAGAACAAACUUUGCCAUAUUACUGUUAGGAGACCUGCCAUCUUGUGUCAGUGUGAACCCUACUUCCUGGUAUGAUUCAAAGCAAAGUAUAAAUAAUAAUAGAUCUGUUAUGUUUCUGUAUUCCUCAUUAUGCCUUCCAGUGACACAUCCUACGACAGGAUUGGUAUUAGUGAUGAGCUCAAAAUGUGGUUAAAACAAAAUCUGUUUCCCAGAAAAAAGGAUCCUCCCUUUCAGAAUUACAGGAACUGAAGUGGAGAAAGAUAAACACCUUGGUGUACACUGGAAAAUUAGUACAGCUGUUAUUUAUGGUAAAAGGCCUGUUCCAUGCGUCUCUUUGUAAGCAUACAAAAUACUUAAAUGUGCAGCAGUAUGCUUGUAUUUGCAAGUGUUUUAUGCAUCUGUAUGCUCUGUGGCAAUGCAUAAAAAGGGUGAUACCAAGAGUUUAAAUGAGACCACAAACCACUAGAAGAGUAUAUCUUGAAUCUGCUGAGGAGGAAUUUCACGGAAGUAGUUGUCAAGAUACAGUAGCCGGGAUUUGACAAUCCAGGGGAGGAAUGGGAUAAGGCUUUCCUGCUGAGCUGAUGCGCAACAAUGCUGGGAAACAGGAAAGUGGCGUGGUCUGACGGGUUGACGUGCGUUCUCUUGACAGCUACUUACUGCUCAGCACUGAUACUACACAGCUAUCCAGGAUGAGAGAAAAAUCACUUUGAACGCGAAAGGAAAAGGAGGGUCCAAGUUCUUUGGGAAAGACACAAGGCACUUUCUGAACGAAUCAAUACUGGUCUUGGUGGUGAUUAGAGCGCUGAUGGAUCAGAGCCAGGCUGCCCUUUUAAUGGUCAUUAUCCCAUCCUACUUUGCCUGGCUGAUGCAGCCAGCGUCUGCUAUCUGCUGCUGAAGCUGAGGCACCGCCGAAGUAAGAAAAAGGGGUUAUAUUUUCAAUGUAUCAAAAAGCAUUAAACAAAGUAGACAUGGACUAGUCUUUGCGAUCUGGGCUGACUCCAUUUACCAAGAACAUUUCAGACGGGGAGAAAACACUUCAUUUAGGGAAAGGCUGAUGACAAAUAUUAAACUUUCUAUGUACCUUUUAACAAUUCAAUCUGCCUCAGUUAAAUUAUCUACCUGUAUAAUAUCAGAGGGCCUAGCACAUUAGCAACAAGUUGGUUUAAAUGUAAUCCUUCACAGACACAUUCAUAGAAACAGUACAAUGAGAUGUUGAUGUG